rnacentral:rRNA from 1 species
UACAGAGGGGGCAAGCGUUGUUCGGAAUUACUGGGCGUAAAGGGCGCGUAGGCGGCCUUCUAAGUCGAACGUGAAAUCCCCGGGCUCAACCCGGGAACUGCGUCCGAUACUGGAAGGCUUGAAUCCGGGAGAGGGAUGCGGAAUUCCAGGUGUAGCGGUGAAAUGCGUAGAUAUCAGGAGGAACACCGGUGGCGAAGGCGGGUCUCUGGGCAACUACUGACGCUGAGGAGCGAAAGCGUGGGGAGCGAACAGG